ACUGUAUCCCAGCAUGCAUCUCUGCUCACUCAGACCACACCCCCAUGAGUAGGAUGUAACACUCUAGUGAUAGAGAUGUAGAGUUUUAUAAGUAAUGAGGGAGCAGACUAAGGUUAUUAGAACACAAUGGAAUGUCAAGUCUGUAAAUCUUUAAACCAUGAAGAUGGUUGAUAGUUCAGGAAUUGGGCUUAUUUUUAUUAUGGGCAGUCCUUUCACUCAGAUGCCCACUUCUCACUGGAGCUGUACAUGUGUUGGCUGGCUGGCAUGAUUUGCUGUUGGUGAUGAGGCGGUCAGGGUGACGUUGCAGGGCUAUGGUCGGCUCUCUGUGAGCUCAACGUUUAGAUUUGCUCUGUAUGGUUUGUACCCUGAAUAAUCUAGAUAAUUGUAAAAUGUAGACACGGUUUUGUAUUGAAUGAUUCCAGGAUUUUAGGUUUAAAGUUGUUGUGGGACGUACAUGGUAGUUUGGUUCUUCGUAUGGUUUUGAGUGAUAUAACUUGUACACACUGGGUGCAUAAUAAUGUAAAGGUACACUGAAUAGUAGUAAUUACCAACAGCAACAAACAGAUCUCCUCAAGGUAAGUCUGUUGGCUGUGUUUUAAUGAAGACCAUCGCUGGACUUCAGGAUCUUCCUCCGUUCAGCUCAAGGUGAGGUGCUGGUUCUGUUUUUUCUUUGGUUGGUUCCGGCCGGAAUGUUCGGAUUCCAGUCGGACGGUUUGUGCUUCACGCCGUGGAAGGUUCUGAGUGCGGUCACUUGAUUUAGUCGGAAUGGUUAGCAUAGAACAUUGUAGUCUUGACAACCAUGAGAAACCACCGGGCAGUUAGUUGGACGGGAGACUCCCCUGAGGGAAUCUGGCGGAUCGUUCUUGAUUGUAUUUGCGUAACCUCGAGCCGUUGCCAACGGAAACUAUUUUGGUUUUACUAACUAUUGUCGGUUUCCAUUGGGAAUUGUUGCCCCUAUCUUAAACAACUUAAGUUUGAUAUUAAUUACAUACUGAUGCGUACGUCGUACAAUAUGUUGAUAAUUUCCGAUGGUUGCACCGUACUUUUAACCACGAUGACGUUGCGGGACUCUCACUGCGUAGAAAACCGCGUUCUACUUGCGGGCCCAUUUUUGACAUCGGGGAAGGCUGAAAAUCAUUUCAAGGUGGAAGAUAAUUUGACAUUUCUUCAACGGAACCCAGCACCUGAAUAUGGCUGAGUAUAUUUGCUUUAAUAUCGAUACUGCUUAGUGUUCUUUGUUACUUCAGCUUUUGUACGUUUUAAAUAUCUGCUGUCAUUAAUUGCCACAGAAGUUAAACCCUACCCAAUGGAAUGACGUUAAACAACGACUUUGGUGCAGAGUUACCGACUGGAUAAUAUCAAAGCUAAAAUAAUGGCCGUAAUUCCCACAUGUUACAGUAGAAGAUACUCUAGAACUGUACAAGGUUAACAAGGUAACAUGUAGUUUGUCCCAAGGUGUCUGCCUCCUCACCCAGAGCCAGACCUCCACCUCCUCGCCCAGAGCCAGACCUCCACCUCCUCACCCAGAGCCAGACCUCCACCUCCUCACCCAGAGCCAGACCUCCACCUCCUCGCCCAGAGCCAGACCUCCACCUCCUCACCCAGAGCCAGACCUCCACCUCCUGUCAGAAGUCCUCCAGAACAGCUGAAAGGCGAGGCUGAGAGGCUGGGGACCGGAGGCUUGUGGUGCCAGGGUGGACCGGAGACUGAGGCUGGAGACCAGGGGCCUGCAGCACCGGACCAGAGGACCAGGAAUCCAUGGCUGAAGGAGCUGAUGGAGGAGCGGUACUGAAGGAGCUGAUGGAGUAGUCGUGCUGAAGGCCCUGCCUUGUGGAGGAGCUGGUGGAGGCCCUGCCUGAUGAAGGACGUCUGUCGUGGGACCAGGACUCUGUCUGAGGAGAGCUGCUAGAGGAGCUGAGACGCUGGAGGACGACUAGGAAUCGACCAACAAGGAUUCCUCAACGUGUUUCUGGAGCGGAGGCGAGCUGGUAGAGGAGCCAUGAAUCUGGAGGAUGACCAUCACUCUACCAACAAGGAUUACUUUAGGGCCAGACUCGCGCUGUUUGUUCCAGACCAGGACUCUGGCUGAGGAGAGCUGAUGGAGGAGCCAAGACUCUGGAGGACGUCAUCACUCCACCAACCAGGAUCCUCAGACGAAUUACGUUUGUAACCAGACCAGGAAUCUGGAGGACUGAUGGAGCAGCCGUACAUCUGGAAGGCAAAUCCUGAGGACCACCAGGACUCUACCAUCAAGGAUUCCUCACACACCUGAGCUGAACCUCAUCUGAUCCUGUGUGGUCGGGGGUAUACACACCUGAGCUAAACCCGCCCUGAUCCUGACAUCCUGCUGGUCCCGUCUCCUCAGUUCAUCUGAGCCUCGUCCUCCAGAAGACCUGCUGAGCUCAGCUGUCUGAGGCUGAUGGAUCAAUGUGGGAGUGAUCUUCUUGACCCCACAUGUAACCGUGUGCUUCCACACGCCUUUCCCUCACGUCUGUCACUAACCUCACUACUUCACUUCUCUCUACUGCUUCCUCUUUUCUUCCUUUCCUCCUCUGUGGUUCAAACCUUUACACGGAAGGCGCGUCUUCCUGCCCUCAGAGGGUUUAGCGUUAGGGUUGAGAGUCAGGGUUUAGAGUCAGGGACAGAGCUGGUCAGGGAGGACUGCUUUUACACAAACCUCUUCACUUGCUUUCAGAAUGGUGGUGACAUUUUGAAAUGAUUCAUUUGGGAAAAUGUUUUCCUCUGGUUUCCUUGUGUGUUGAAUUGCAUUCAACUUGUAUUCAACUUCUGUCAAGUGUUUUUGUUUCUAUAUUAAAAGCCCACAUUGACUUCUAUAUAUUUGGUGCGGUUCAUUUAUUUGUCCUUUAACUUGGUUAAUGUCAAGCUAAACUCCU